rnacentral:rRNA from 1 species
UACGGAGGGUGCAAGCGUUAAUCGGAAUUAUUGGGCGUAAAGCGUGCGUAGGUGGUUCGUUAAGUCUGUUGUGAAAGCCCCGAGCUCAACUUGGGAAUUGCAGUGGAUACUGGCGAGCUGGAGUGCGGUAGAGGAAGGUGGAAUUCCCGGUGUAGCGGUGAAAUGCGUAGAGAUCGGGAGGAACACCAGUGGCGAAGGCGGCCUUCUGGACCAGCACUGACACUCAAGCACGAAAGCUUGGGGAGCAAUCAGG